rnacentral:rRNA from 1 species
UGGCGGCCUUAGCGCGGUGGUCCCACCUGACCCCAUGCCGAACUCAGAAGUGAAACGCCGUAGCGCCGAUGGUAGUGUGUGGGGUCUCCCCAUGCGAGAGUAGGGAACUGCCA